rnacentral:lncRNA from 1 species
AUGUUUGGAUAAUUAAUCUUCAUGCAUUUUCUUUCAUAAUCUAAAAAAAUAUAUUAACUUUUUUUUUGGUGGUGUAAAUAUAUAGGGGUGUUAUGGUACUAGAAGUACAACAGCAUAAUGAAUUGAAGUGGGAGGAAAAGUAAGCUUUUAUGAGUUGUACCUUGAGAACAACACGUGGAAAGAGCAAGUUGUCAACUAUUGGAUUGAAAAGCUCCAAAUGCAAUAAAUGUUGAAUAAUUUUAUAUAUUUGUUGGAAAAUUUCAUAUGUUGAGAUAUAUAAUAUUUUCAUGUUUUUUAAAAAAAAAAACUAUUUUGUCUUUGAAUGGAAAUUGCUAUUCAUAGUACUUGUGAACUGUACUACACUACUUGGAAGACAUAAUGUAUGUUAUUUCGAUAUUGUUUAUCACUAUAAGGGGUUGCGAAUUUAGUAUUUCAAGAAAACGGGUGCACCAUUGUUAGGGACAAUUUUGCGCCUUUAAGAAAAAAGCAAUAAUUUUUUGCUUUCAAAUUUGAGGGGCCUCAUUUAUUUUAGCAAUAAUAGAUAUAUGUUUUUCAUAGGAAAAAUAUUAAUUAUGAUUUGAAAAAAAAUAAAUUAUAUUAAGAGAACAAGUUAUUAGAAGAAAUUUGAUAUACCUAGAGUAUUAUGUCGCAAGAAAGAUUAAAUGCAUUGGUUAUGUAAAUUAUUGAUUGAAAAAGACUUAUUAAAAGAAUCUGAUUAUAAAAAUAUACAAUUUUGCAUCUCAAGAAGUUUAAGGCCUCAGUUUGAUUUUGUUUCAGACCAGUUGUGCGGUUGAACCGCUGCUGACCAUUGCACGUAAGAUAAGAUAUAAAAUAUUAUAAUUGAUUUUGCUAAUUUGCUUACUAAGAAUGGUGAUUUCAGUUGAAAGAAUGAAAAAAGAAGGAAAAAUGCUUUGUGUUUUUUCUGAAAAGAAUGCUUGCGAUGGAACCUACUUUUAGAUUCAUUUAUAUUUUUUGUAAAAACAAAAGAAGUAAAAAGCAAUGCUAGUAAAAAGUCGAAAGCAAAACAAACACUCAAAUCAGUGAGCCAUCGAGUGAUUUGUGAUCAUCGGUUCCUUCAGUUGCUAUUUGUUAUAUUUUAUAAAUUAUACAAGUAAUAUAUCGAAUUUUAUCGGAUGACCACAAUUCAGGUGACCCAUUUUUUAUACUUAAAUUCGCUCUUGACUAUAAGUCUUUGCUCAAUAAUUGACGAUAGAAUGGAGAGGCAGGAAAGAGAGGAGAGAUAUAGGGUGUGUUUGGUAUGAAGGAAAAUGUUUUCUUGGAAACAAGUAGAUUUCUAACUUGUUUUUCUCAUGUGUUGGUUGGUGAGUAGAAAAUAUUUUCUGAUUUUUUUUUAAUGUUUGGUUGGUGAAUGAAAAAUAUUUUUCAGAAAAUAUUUUAUAUUUUUGGCUUGAGACUAAAAAAUACUCUUUAGAAAAAUAAUUUCUGAUCCGAAAAUAAACAACGAUAAUUGAUCUAAGACCCGACCUCGAUACCCAAACUAGGAUAAAACCCCGAUGCCAUUCCAAAAUCUUACCCAAGACUUGACCCCGAGAAAUUUUUUCAAAAAAGUUUUUUUUUAAAAAAAUAAUAAUUUUGACGUGGUUCNNNNNNNNNNNNNNNNNNNNNNNNNNGACCUUGUUGGGGUGGGGGAGUGGCGUAAAAAAUUAAAAAUUAAAAUUUGAAAUAUUUUUCAAAAGCAUUUUUUUUUUUAGAAGGGGAGGGGAGUAGGAGCAAGGGUAGGGGUAGUAAGGGUUGGGUGAGGUAAAAAAAAUCUUAGAAUUUGAAAAAAAAAAGUUAAAAAAAAUUAUUUUUUUGUUUGAGGGGGUGUUGGUUUGGUGGUAGGGAUAAAAAUAUAUUUAAAAUUUUAAAAAUGAAAAAAAGUUAAUUAUUUUUUUUAAUGAAGAGGGUCGGGUACAAGGUAUGGGUAGAAUAAGAAAAAUAAAAUAAAGGAUGAAAUAGUUUUGGAAAAAAAAAAUAGAAAAUGUUUUCCUUAACUUUGAAAGGGAGGUUAUUUUCCUCCACAUCAAACACACCCAUAAUCCAAAAUGGUAGGAGACAAUAAUAGAAAUAUAUAUAGAUAUAACAUUCAACAAAAUGCAUCUUAUAAAUCAUAUAUAUAUAUAUAGGAAAUCUAAACUUAUCAUCGCGACUUAUAAUGAGUUAUAAAUUGCAUUAAAAAUACAAUUUAUAAUAAAUCGCAUUCAAUUGUAAUAUGUUUGAAUUGUGACCUCUUGAUCACUAAACAGUUUAGUCUAAACUAUAUAAUAUAUUAAAAACAUCUAAAUAAACUUGAUUCUAUUGUUCCAAAUUAAGCCACUAGACCUAACAAAAACUCCAUAACUUCUUUUGGUUCACGUAAAGAGUACAAAGCCUUGGUGUCCUUUGGAGCAGCAGUAACAACAAUUGGAAAACCUUGUCCUCUUUUCAGCAAUACCUGCAAAAAUUUUAAAUACGUAAAUUUUAUUUUCUUAAUAAUAACACGUAGAAGUUAAGAUUUUUUUUUAUGCAAAAUAGAAAAUAGAAUUUACCUUGAAAGCAUCUUCAUCAGUUCGAUCAUCCCCAAUGUAUAUUGGGAAAACAUCAUCAGAAUUCCCAAAUCCAAGAUUUUCUAAGAAAUAUUCCAAUGCAUGACCUUUGUUCCACACAAUAUUUGGUCCUAUCUCAAACACCUAUAUUGAUAAAAAAAAUAAAAAAUAAAAAAAUUGUAUAUUUUUGUUAAUUUAACAUAAAGUUUGAUUAAACAGGAAAUGUCACAUAAAUAUUUUUGAAAAGAUUUACCUUUAUUCCUGUUGAUACACGAAAAUUUGGGUGUUCUUUCAAGACAACAUAAAUGAUAUUCUCAACAGUACCAAAGUCCUGAAAUAUUUAGGAUUUAUAGUUAACAAAUAAGGUACAAUAAAGACAUUCAAGAUUUUAAUAUACAUGUAUAAGAUCACCUUUUGACCUAAGACGAAUUUAGUAUUUAAACUCGUUUGUUUCAACAUGUAAAAUUUUUAAAAUGGAAAUUAUGAGUUUGGAAUUAAAUAUUUAUUAAAAAUAAUCGCAUACAAAUAUAGGUUUAUGGAGGAAAAAAUUAUACCUUGGUGUGAACAUGUCUGUAGUGUACAGAAAUGCAGAAUUUGUUAUCUUCAAUAUUGACUCCUUUGAUACCUUUGGUUCUCUCCCCCAACAGAUUAAGAAUCUAAUAAUUUAAACAAGAAAUAGGGAAUAAUUAAACCAUUUGAGAAAGGAAAAAAGACUUUCAUCUCUAAAUUUAACUUACGUAGCUCCCUUCUUUUGGGGGAUGUAAAGUAGUGUUAAAUCAAAAUAUUGAAUACCUUUUGUUUUUCAGGCAAAAACUCUAUCGCAGGUUGAUAGAAAACAACUUUGUUAUCCUGAAAUUUCCAACAACAAAAAUGAAUUAACAACCUUGAAGUUUCACAUAACAAUCAAUUAAAAAAACCAACCUUUUCAUUUGAAUUUGUUGAAUACAAGGGAACUUCAAUAUCAAGCCCAUGACUUCCAGCAUAAUAAACAUUUUUCAAUUUUACAAAAUCUUGUACCUAAAAUCAUUAAAAAAAAUAAAAAUUAGUAGGAUUAAUUCCAUCUAAUUAUAAUUAAUUAGACUUAUUUAAUUUUAUGUAUGAUUAAUUUUAGUAAUAAGUAAAAUAUACAAACCCUUUCACGUUUUCGUCCACUGAUAAUUACUGUAGGAAAUCGAUUAGCAACUUCACCUAGCACCAUUCUCAUCUGCAAUUUAUAUUAAACUCUCAAUUAAUUGGAUAAUUACAAAAAGUUUACAUAACGAUCGAUUGUUGGGGCACAAAGCAUUUUGAUUUCACGUGGGGUCCACCCCAAUGAGUGUGAUAUAGAAAGUCUGACCAAGAACAGAGGUAGUUGGUAGGGGUGAUGAAGAAGCACGUAACAUUUACAUGAGUUUCAAAGGCCUUAUCUGGAAUGUUCCUCAAAUUUUUUAGAAUGAGCUGUAGAUUGCUCCUGGAGGUGCUUCAUCAAGUGACUGAUAUUCAACAAAGUUGAGAAAAUACAAUGGAAUAUCUCUCAAGAUUUUAGGGAAAACAGUAAACUACAAAGAAAAGAGAGGUCCAGAUCUGCAAAAGUAAUAAAAUGCAACUUCGGGUGCAUGCGUGUUUUUUAGCCUUUCUUCUAAUAGCUUGGCAAAGAGGACAUAAAAAAAUAAGACAAGUAAAUUACUAUUAAAAUUGAGAGAAUUUUAAUUAAAUAUAUACCUUGUCAGUCAUGAAAGCUUCUUCAGGAUUGGGCACAAUAUCAGACAAAGUUCCAUCAUAAUCCAACAAUAUUACUAUUUUUUUCCCUUUUCCUAUGUUCAUCAUUUCUUCAAAUUUUUCCAAUGCACAAGGAUGCUCCACCUGAAUUAAUUUGUUCCAAAAUUCAAAUUUAAUUAAACAAAAAAGUAUUAACAUCUCUACCUUAUAAUUAAAAAACUUACCAGCCAAGUAGCAUACUCAAUGGAGAAAUCAUUUCCAUCGAGUUUUGCCAAUCCCAUAACUUUAAUCAAUUCGGAACAAAAAAAUAUUUAGACCAACUUAUAUAUAUGUAUCGAUUAUUCUACAAGAUACUUGUUAUAAAGACUAGACUCUUUUUCUUUCUUUUUUAGUUUUGGAUCUCGAUUUUGAGGUUUCACUCAAGGAUAGUGAAAAACACUUAAACAAAAAGAAAAGUACCCAACUCAACAAAAUCCAUAUAUGUGGCGAUUGUACCAUUUCGAUUUAAUCAAAACAUAUCCAAGGCUUGUGUUAAUUAAUGGAAAUUACAUAUGAAUUUAGAUGAAGAAAAAAAAUACCUUAUGCUUAUGGAGAUGAAAAUAUUUCUUUUGCAACAAUUUAAUUUAUUUUUUCUGUCGGAGAAGAGGGUGUAUAUGAAAGAAAGAUUUUGAGCCUAUUUAUAGGAAUUAAAGUUAGAAAAAAAGUAAGUUCCUUACUAUAUUGUAGUAAAAAACAAGUCUAGAUUCAUAAUUUAUAGCGUGAGGGUAUAUUGGUUAUAUAUAUUAUUUUUGUCCUACUACGUCAUCAAUAAAUUUUAGUUGUUAGAAAGUCAAAAUGGUAUGUAUGACUUUGACCAAUAAUUUAAGAAAGAUGUAUUUUUUUAUUAUAUUAAUAUAUAUAAAAGGAAUUAUAAUUUAUAAUAUUUUUCAUAUAAUUUUAGAACAUGAAUUUAAAAUUGUGAAUUAACCUAAUUCAAUUUGGCUUCACAAGAUUAGUCAAUUUGACUUUCGUAAAGUGAAAUAUGACAAGUAAAAGUCAAUAGAGCAUAGUCAAAACGAGUCUAGAUUCAAAAUCUUUGAUUAUAAAGUGGGACAAGUUAUUUUGGUUUUGUCCUUAUUAUACUCACUUGCUUUAUUUUUAUGUGUCAUGUUUUAUUGUUCGAGAGUCAAACUGUAUAAACUUUGAUCAAUAUUUUAAUAUAUUUUUCGAAUUAUAUUAAUAUGAGAAGAAUUGCAACUUAAAGUAUUUUUUAUAUAGUUCUCAAACAUCUAAAUUUAAAAUGUAAAAUAUUGACUCUAUAAUAAGAUUUUGUCCUUAUUAUGUAUACUCACUUGUUUUAUUUUUAUGUGUCAAGUUGACUCUAGUAAAGCAAAACAUGACAAAGUGAAUAAAGAAAGAAAUUUUGUAGUCAAAAUAAGUCUAGAUUCAAAAUCUUUAAUUAUAGCGUGGGAUUAGACAUAUUUAUGUUUUUUUUUUGUUUAAUUACACAAUCAUAAGGCAAACUAUACUAAAUGUGAGUAAAAAUGAUCCUUAAUUAUAACGUAUAUAUAUUUGCUAUUGCAUAAGUAUUAUUGACUAACUAUUUAGCAAAUCGAGUCAAAAGAUUUGUGAAUUGAUUAAUCAUAUCAAUGUUUUCCAUAACAAUAUAUUCUGAAAAUAUUAUUAGCAUUUACAUUAUAUUUGGUAAUUUUGACUCUUUCUUCAUGGAGAAGUAAUUUGUGAAGACUUGGUCACAUGUUAACAAUGGAAAAACAUGAGUUCAAUCAACUUUCUAAUAUUAAUGAUUUCUUCAUCAUAUUCUCUUACUUACCUUUAUGAAACUUAUACCUUAAUUAGUUAAUAGUAGACAAAAUUAAGAUGGUCUGAUAAUUAAUUAGUAGCAUAAAAAAUUCCAAUGAUUAAACUAGGUCUUGAGAUCUAAGUGUAGUUGAGUUUAUAUGUCCAAAACUACAUUGCUAUCCUUAGAAUUUAAGUUACAUAUUUUACAUUAUCAAUAUAAUUUAACUUGUCACAACAUAGUAUCAUUUAUACUUAGUUAUUGAGUAAUAAUUAUCAUAAAAAAUUGAGUUUUUGAAGUUAGUAUUGGACAUAUAUUUUUUUUUUUUUUAAAAUUGAAGUUUUUAAAUGCAAGUCCCUGAAACUCAAAACUCGUAUGCACUAGUUUCUGAGAACUUCAAAAUAUUUGAGGAUCCGAUUUUAAAAUUAUAAUUAAAUUUCAUGAUCAAAUAAAUAUUUGAAGAUAAAUUUUAAAAAUCUGAUCAAACACUAGUUAGCUAAAUCAAUUAGGAAGAUACACUUCAAUUUGUUCAUUUCCAUUAACUUUCACCUCUAUAUACAAUGCCUCGCCUGACAGAGACAAAUUUGAAGUAAAGUAUCGUUUAUAGGUUUAUGUGAACCUAAUAAUAUUACCUUAAUCAUUAAACAUAUAUAUAAAUAUUUAAAUUGUAAACCUAGUCAUUGAUAAAUUGAAGCCAUUAAUUGAAAGAACACGUAAACUUUAAAUUCUAAAUUCGAACAUGAAUUCCUUCCGGUAUCAUUUUGUCCAGUACCGGAUGAAAUUGAAUCAAUUAUAUAUUACUCUCCUAAUGUAGCAAAAUAUCUUUUUAGAUUAUAAGUUUCAAGUCGUAUAAAAAACAUAAUGCUAUAUAAAUGAAUUUAAAUGAAAGCUCAAUGAAAUAGACAUGUUUGUGAAAAUUAGUAGGACACAAGUCACACAACCAUGCAUUCAUCAACUUUUUGCAUGGUGCCUAGCUCUCUCCGUCUUAUUAGUUUCCAUCUAUUUAAUUAUGUAUUGUUAAUUAAGUUUUUAGAUCUUAAUGAUAUAUAUAAUUAAAGAUACACCUUUGUUACUUUUAAUUUAUACACAAUAUUUAAAGUAUACUUGAGGAGAAUAUGUACUUUAUAUUAAUAUCAUAAUUAAGUCCACUAACUAUAGUAUUAUAUUGCGCUUCUGAAAAAUAAUUGGGGCCAAUGAUAGUUGAAGUAGCACUUGUAGUUUGUACUUUGUACUUUGUAAAUUAUAUAUAUUAAUCUCAUAAUCAAAUAGUAUAAUUAACACUGGUUAGCUUAAUUUUUUGACACGUAGUUACUUUUUUUAAUCUAAUUUAGUAUUAUAUAAUGACAAUCUAAAGUAAGAUUUGUCAAAAAAAGAGAGAAUUGUUUUAACUUUUGAAAUUUUAGUUAAUUUUUAGUGUGUCAACCAUAUAUACAACAAAAAAUUCCACCAAAUUUUAAUUCAACAACUAAUAAAGUGUUUAUGUUCGCUUCAAAUGCAUCCACGUCGAAAAAAUUACCAACACUUUGAAGUUUUUAAUUAAGGUAAAUGACCAUUUCAUGUGUCUUUACAAUUAAAUAUUUUAAUUAAUCUCUUUGUUAAAGUCCAUAUCUUUGCAAUUAAAUAGAUUUUAUUGGUUAGAAACUGCGUAGUACAGUGUACUUAGUAUCUUUUUACUAACUGAAAUAUUUAUUUGGAUUCUAAAAUUAUAUGCUUUUUUUUUAAAUCAAAGAAUGGUAAUUAUUUUCUUAAUUAUUAUUAGAUUUCAAUCUUUGAAGGGAAAUUUUGCCACAACUAGUAAAGUUACAGUUACUACUAUGUGAUCAGGAGGCAUUAACGGAGCCAAAAAUUUGAUUAAGGGGUGUCAAAAUAUAAAGAAGUAAAAAUGCGUAGAAAUCAAUUAAGGAGUGUCAAUACAUGAUAUAUAGGCAUAAACAAAUAAUUUUAUCUAGUACACAAUGUAAUUUUUUUGACGAAGUUUUGUUGGACAUCACCCCUUAAUAAGUAUAUUUAGUUCCGUCACUGUCAUGAGGCCGUCACAAAUUCAAACAUGAAAAUAACCUUUGACAGAAAUGCAGGAUAAACUAAGUACAUAUAGUGAUCCAACCAUUCUCUAAACACAACAGAUAACGAGAGUUUAACGUAUUAGGCUAUCUUUUUCUAGAUUUUAACUCUUUACAAUUUACCAAACUGAGAUGCAAAGACGCAAUAUGAUUCAUUUUAUAAUUGUAUAUUGCUAAUUAUAGUGCAAAUUCUAUGUGAAUACAUUAAUAACAAAGUCUCAAUUGUUUUUUUUUUUAAAAUUAGAAUUCAUGAUUGGAAAAUAAACCCCAGGCCUCAGAGACAUUUUGCGGCUAAACGUGGCAUUAUCCCAUUGGGCACACUAGUGAAUCAUGUGGAAAAAGGAUAGUAACUUUUAUUUUUUGUUUUUUGUUUUUUGUUUAUUUUUUCCCAAUAAAGGUAUAAACUUUUCAGUUUUCAUCGAUAAAGCGCAUGGCUAAAAGACGUGUCUAAAUAGUGGAAUCCAUCGUAAGAAAUAUAAGAUUUUAUAUGGAUUAUAUUCCAAAAUUAAAGAAACAAACAAACAUAGUAUAUAUAGUUUUUCACAAAUAAGGUGCAAAUUUAACGUAAUUUUUUUUUUCUCGUAAGAUAUAAAGAUUAUUUUUAAAAAAUUCUCGACUCAAAAGUUAAAAGGACGACUUUAAUGUCUAAUUUCUCACAGUGACAGUAUCUGACACAUGGUUGUAAAAAAAGAGUCAGUAAAAUAACAAGAUACUAAAUGUGACAACAGAUAAUAAUGCUGCACAUUAAAAAAUAGGAAACUACACAACAAUUAAAAAAUGGAAAAGAGGAGAGGAGGAGGCUAUCCCAUUUCCUCUCCCACACAUAAUACGACCAUACUCAAUUACUUACUAAUCUUCUACCUUGAUAAUCGAUCUACGUAACCUAAAUUAUAUUGAAGCAAAAUAAUAAUUAAAGAAGCCUUAGCUAGCUAACCUAAAAGUGUGAUUGAAAUAUUAAAAAUAUUCAUGGCAGACCCACUCUUACCCAAGAGGCGACACCCUUCAUCGGAAAAUUAUAUUGUAUAUAGAUCAAAUUUUAAUUUAAUAUUGAUACAUCUUGACACAAGAUAAAAAUCAAUGGUUAAGAUAUUACAAAAAAUCUUUGAGAUCGUGUGUUCAAAUUUUACUAGCCUCGGAUCUGCUAUGCAUUUUCAAUGUAUAAAAGUUAGAACUCUCUUUUAUUUUGUUGUGAUUCUAUUAGGACUGAAAAGUCCAAUCGUAUUGCUGUUACACCGGCAUUCUUGUCGGGCAACUCAAUAAUCAAAAGAUCGCAAUUCAAAUUAUUUGUGACGUAUUUAAUUCAUGAUCACGUGCUUCAUGAACAAUGAUCACGUGAGUAAUUCAAUUUUAUAUAUUUUUCUAUUUAACUAUAUGUAAAUGAAUAAUGUAUAUGAUACGCUGCAUCAAAAAGGAAGAAGAGAAGUACAACCAGAAUUUGAUGGUGUAGACCUCUUUUUUCCUUUUUCUUAUUCAGUAUUCGACUAUUCGGUAUUUAUUUAAAGUUUGUUUAAUUAGAAUUCAAGGAAUACAAAAUUCCUAUAAAAAAAACAGUUCAUACACAAAAUUCAAAACAAUGUGAUUAAUUAAAAAUUGAUAAUACUUCUCCUUUCACUAUAAUUUGUGAGAGUAACUAUUAACUUGGGGCUUAUAGGUUAUGUGUCGAACAUCAAACGAAAGAAAUGACGCGUGGUGUCCCAAAUAGUAUCCAAUCUUUUUUUUUUUUUUAAUCCUCAAUUAAUAAAAUCUUUAAAAAAUGACUUUAACUACAAAAUUUUUUGUUGGGAAGUACUAUUAUUGCCCAUUAGAUAUAAAUUAUAGCUUCGAUUAAUAAGGUAGAUGUUAUGAUCAAUUGAACAAGUUAAUUGUUUGACCUAUCAUAAACUUCUUGCCUAGUGAAAUUUCUGAAACGGAGAUAUUUUUCGCUAAAAAAUCAAGACCAUGGAGGUCAUUUGUGAACUUAAUCCCGUAGAAAGAAGGAAAAAUUACUAAAAUGCACGUCUUAUGUUUCCCUUAUUUCUAAUAUUCCCUUCUAUUUCUAAAAACCUCUAAAAUCCCUUAUUUCUCUCCUAAUUCUAAAUUAUUUUAUAAUGUAUCUGAGCUAGUUUAUAAUGUAUCCGAGCUAAUUUAUAAUGUAUCCAAGCUACAUAUUAUGUAUCCGAUUUAUUUUAUAAUGUAUCCGAGCUACAUAUUAUGUAUCCGAUUUGUUUUGCUUUUUCAGGGAUUAAUGUACUUACAAACUAAAUAGGGAUAGAUUGUAAUUUCAUAUUAAAACUAUGUGAUUCCUAAAAUUUAUACAAAGAAAGAAUGAAGGAAUGAAAAAAUGGGCCUAAUAUAAUGUAGAGAGACUUUGAACUAAAUCAACAGUUUGCUUAUCAAAAAGGCCCAAGAGGGAACCCAUGGGCCAUGGUGUCAAUCCAGGAAUGCAAAGCUGGACUCUCCUUGGCCCAAUGUCUCAUUAACCAGUAGGAGUAAUUAGGACUAAUUAUCAUCUAAUUUUUCUUCUUCAAAUAAUUGGAAUUUCUUUGUCAUGCUUAAUUGGAAAAUGAAAAAUUUCUUCUACUUUUGGAUGGUAAAAUUUAAAAUAGUGCUAAAGUUGACUAAAUGACAUAGUGGGAUCCUACAUAAGGUGUCUAAAAUGGACAUCGCUCAGUUGAGGUGUCUAAGGCCUCAUUUGUUUGCACUUACUGAAGGUCUGAAUCUUAAUCAUUCAAAUUUAGCCUAUUAAGAGCGUUUGGUUUUUAGGCCUGAAUCUUAAUCAUUCAGAUUCAGCUCAUUAAGUCCAUUUGUUUCUUUUUUAAAAAAACCUCUGAAUGGAUCUGAAAAGAUCAAAUCUGUAGGAGAGUCUUAACAACAUUCACAGUAUCUAGAAAAAAAUCACAUCGACUCUCUCUCUCUCUCUACAAACUUUCUUCCUCUCUUUUCUCAACCAAACACCAAUUUUUUUCCUCUUGAACUAAUAAGUUUUCAUAAUCUUUACAAGUAUUUUCUUAUAUUAAUAAUUUUUUUGGGUUGUAUUGAUUUUUGUCAAGAACUCUUGUUGUAAUAAUAUUUUUGGGUGUUUAUCAAGAACUCAAGAUGUGAAAAAAUAGUAGUCAUGAUUAAAAACAAUAACUAUAUAUACAUAUUUGAGGUCUCUUAUGAGAAUUUAAUUUGUUUAGGCCAAAAACAUUGAAGAUUGUACUACAACAGGAGUUCAUGAUUGAAGUCCAAGUUAUACCUAUAUCUAGUUUGUGACAAAAAUGAUGGAACUCCUAAUAAUUCUUCAUCCCAAUCUUUCAGUUUCGGUUGAAAGAAAGGUUUUGAGGAAGAAAUUGAUGAGAAGAUGAGUAAUACUUUGGAGUUGUUGAUUAAAAAAAUAGUGCACCUUGCUUUGAAGAAUGCAAAAAAAACUAAUUAGAUGGACUUGGAUGGGAAGAACCAUUAUACAAUAUAUUUAUUAGUAUAUUUUGUGAAAGGAACAGCUACAAAAAAACAUGGAUAACACUAGAGGUUCACAAGCUAGAAUAUAUGUUAGGCGUUGAUGAUGUGAAAUCUUCUUUAUUAUUUUUCGACUAGUAUCUAUCAUACUUAUUGAACUUUUUGAUAUUAUAUUAUGUCUAUGAAAAAAUUUUUAGUGAUAGAUUUACUCAUAAAAAGAUGUUUAUGUUGAAUUCUUAAAAGAAAUCAUGCUACAAUAAUUUUAUAUCGAUAUAUAAUUUUUAUUUGCAUAUUAUAUAAUUUUUUUAUUGAAAUGAAAAUUUUAUAAUAUUUUAUUGAUAUAAUGUUUAAUUUCAUAUGCAUAUUCAGAUAUUGAAAACAAACAAUCUUAAUUAUUCAGUGUUCAGAUCUAGAGACCACAUCUUAAUAUUUAGAAUGAAAACAAAUGAGGCCUAAGUAAAACUUGAUGCCAACUUUAGGGGGUCACCGAUGGGUUUGACCUAUAAAGAAAGUAAAUGAACAUCAUAUCUGCAUUAGAAAGAUGAUAGAAAUGUUCAGUAGGCAUAUCAUCAAAUAUGAGAAUAAUUAAUUAUAUAUCUUGUAGUAUAUGUUAUUUGGAGUUGUGAUCUAGCUUCAUAUUUGUUGAAGUAAAUACCCCACCAAAUUUUUUUUCCUUCCCCUGUCAACUUGACUAAUUUGUAUAAUUGAUUCCAAAUUCAAAAAGGCAGAAUGAGUUAAAAGAAGAUGAGAAUGCCGAUGAUCUAUACAUUCAAAAUCAAUUUAUAUAUAUCGAAUUUGAUUGAUGAGUAUGAUAAUUUAUUGGUAAAAGUUGUCAUGUUUAGUACUAUACCAUAGUCAAGAACUCACAUGUUUAAAUCUUAAACAUUCCUGUAGCAUACAUACACGAUGAGGAUAUUACGAUUUACAAGUAUAAUAAUAUUAAUAAUUAGAAUUGAGGCAUUGAUUGCACUUCUUCAACUAAUUUCUCUUCAUCUCUUCCAAAUCUAUGAGUAAAUAUUAGCUAAUUCACUUUAAAACAAAAAAAGGGUAAAAACUCUCUUAUAUUUUUAUGUCUGUUAUCUUAUUUAACACAUUUAUUUGAAUACAAUUUCACCUUUAUAGCAUUAUUUUUCCCCAUAAUUAAUAUGAAAAAUAAGAAAAAGACUAUAACACCUAAAUAAAACUUGAGAGAUUACAUUAUAUACAAGUUUAUGCCCAAUGCACUAUUUACCAUCAACUACGUACUUUAAUUUGUGUAGCUUCUAGUACAUACUAGUAGAAAUAGGUAGAUCAAUUCUAAAUUUAUCAGAAUUUAAUAUUUUUAUUAUAUUAAAUUUAUAAAAUUUAAAUUCUGAAUGAUGACGCAAUAAAAUAAAGAGAGACUAGUACUAUAUAAACCAUGUGACUACUAACAUCAUCUUCAUCUUAUUCUUGUUUUUAUUUAUAGAAACAAGAAAUUGUUAUAAUCAUGUGUAUAGUAGUGUUUAUUUGGCAAGCAGAUAGUAGAUAUUCAUUAGUGUUAUUAUUGAAUAGAGAUGAAUAUCAUAAUAGGCCAACAAAGGAAGUUCAUUGGUGGGAAGAUGGAAAAAAUAUUGGUGGCAAAGAUGAAGUUGGUGGUGGCACUUGGUUGGCUUCUUCAACAAAUGGCAAUUGGCUUUUCUUACUAAUGUUUUGGAACUUCAUACACUUCCUCAUGCCAAAACUAGAGGUGACCUACCUCUUCGCUUUUUACAGGUACGUUAGAUUUUUUAUACUGUCAGUAUAUAUAGUAUAUGUCAAUAUAUAUGACUUAGAAUUGUAAUAAGAAGGACAAGAUCUAGAGGUAUGAUGUGAUGGCAAGAAUCUUAGGCUUUGAUUCCUUUGGAGUAUCAUCUAUUACUCCAAAGGUAUUAAACUUUCAACAAAUAUUCAAUUUUGAAUAUGUAAUUUCAAAGGUAUUACAAGUUGAGUACUACAAAAACUUGAGGAACCAAGUUCAUCAAGAUUAAAUUUUGAAUCUGCUUUUAAUCAUGAUCAUGAUUAAUAGUAAUGUUAAACAUUGUCCUUAUUGGAGUAUAUGAUCAAUAAAUCAAGAUUUAAAUUGUAGAAUAUGGUGAAUUUAAAAGAAAAAUAAUAUUGUAAAUUUAUUUGUUAUAUAUGCAGAGCAAUAAAAGCCCAAUGGAGUUUGCAAAAGAGUUGGUAAAUGAAGGGAAUGAAUACAAUGGGUUUAAUUUAAUUUUGGCAGAUAUUGAAACUAAGAAAAUGGUAUGUGUAACAAAUAGGCCCAAAGGAGAGCCCAUAACAAUACAAGAAGUCCAACCAGGUAUACAUGUGCUGUCCAAUGCAAAACUGGACUCUCCUUGGCCCAAAGUAAGAAUUCUAAUGGGCUUUUUUACAAUUUUGGAUGGGAAAAUCACUUACAUGUAUGCUUUUUAAAAAAUAUUUACCACAUUUGUCAACAUUAUUUUUUUAACCAUAUAUGACAAUUUGGCAGAAUUAAAUUAAAUUCACUUCAUCCUUUCCAUCUUUCGCUCCCAAUUUUCUCUUCGCCGCAACGAUUUUUCGCUCGCCACUUCUUACUCACAAUUUUCUUCACAAAUACGGCUAUACUACCUUCAGCUAUGUGUAUUCAGUGAUCAAUUUUAAGACAAAUCAAGUCGAGUAGAGAGUUGAGUUUGAAGUUUUUUGAAGUUUGAAAGGUUAGAAGGUUUAAAUUCGAUUGCAUGUCUUAGUUACUUGUUUAAUUCAUGCUUAAUUCUCUAUCUCGGCUAUACUAACCUUCAGCGAUCUGUAUUCAGUGAUCAAUUUCGAGAUGAAUCAAGUUCGGGCAGAGAGUUGAGCUUGAAGUUUUUUGAAGUUUGAAAGGUUAGAAGGUUUAAAUUUGAUUACAUGUCAUUAGUUACUUGCUUAAUUCAAGCUUAAUUCUCUUUCUCGGCUAUACUCACCUUCAGCAAUGUGUAUUCAUUGAUCAAUUUCGAGAUGAAUCAAGUUCGGGCAGAGAGUUGAGCUUGAAGUUUUUUGAAGUUUGAAAGGUUAGAAGGUUUAAAUUUGAUUACAUGUCAUUAGUUACUUGCUUAAUUCAAGCUUAAUUCUCUUUCUCGGCUAUACGUGAUCAAUUUCGAGAUGAAUGAAUUUCGAGCAAUGAUGUGUAUUAAAUUACUUGCUUAAUUCACAAUAGAUACAUGUUUAAUUCACUUGUUAGUAUUUGUGUAAUACAACUUUAAUUCACUUUUCUUAUACAAUUUUAAUAUAGUGUAACACACUUUUAAUACAAGUUAAAUUCAUUUUUGAGUGUGCUAGAUCUUGUGGAGAGGUUGUGGUAGUGUUUGAUAAGAUAUGUUGAAUUUAUGAAUGAGGAGGUUUUGGAGAAGAGUUUUGAAGUUUAUAGGUGUGUGAGGUCAAGUACUCUGCUGUUGUUGGUUGGUUUGUUAUGAUUGGAUUACUUGUUUAAAUUCUUUCUUAAUUCACUCUUCUGAUUGAUUUACUUGCUUAAUUCAUAAUAGAUUCAAGUUUAAUUCAAUAUAUAGAACACUCUCUCGUUGUUUCCUUAGUUAUUUGUUUAAAAUUUUUCUUAAUUGACUCUUCUAAUUCAACUUUAAUACAAUGUAAUACACUUUUAAUACAAGUUUAAUUCAUUUUCGCAGUUUGUUGGUUGAUUUGAUUACUUGUUUAACUUAUGAUUGAAUUACUUGUUUAAAUUCUUUCUUAAUUCACUUUUCUGAUUGAUUUAAUUGCUUAAUUCAUAAUAGAUUCAAGUUUAAUUCAAUCUAUAGAAAACUUUCUCGUCGUUUCCGUAGUUACUUGUUUAAAUUUCUUCUUAAUUCACUCUUCUAAUUCAACUUUAAUACAAUGUAAUACACUUUUAAUAUAGGUUUAAUUCAUUUUUGCAGUUUGUUUGGUUGAUUUGUUAUGAUUUGAUUACUUGUUUAAAUUCUUUCUUAAUUCUCUUUUUACUAAUUCAACUUUUAGUAAUUUUUUGUAUUUACCACUUUAAAAUAGAAGUUUAAUCCAUUUUGAAGUUUGUUGGUUGAUUUGUUACUAUUGAAUUACUUGCUUAAUUCAUAAUAGAUCCAAGUUUAAUUCAAUCUAUAGAAAACUUUCUCGUCGUUUCCGUAGUUACUUGUUUAAAUUUCUUCUUAAUUCACUCUUCUAAUUCAACUUUAAUACAAUGUAAUACACUUUUAAUAUAGGUUUAAUUCAUUUUUGCAGUUUGUUGGUUGAUUUGUUAUGAUUUGAUUACUUGUUUAAAUUCUUUCUUAAUUCAAUCUACUGAUUGAUUUACUUGCAUAAUUCAUAAUAGAUUCAAGUUUAAUUCAAUCUAUAGAACACUUUCUCAUUGUUUCCUUAGUUACUUGUUUAAAUUCUUUCUUAAUUCUCUUUUUACUAAUUCAACUUUAGUAUUUUUGUAUUACCACUUUAAAUAGAAGUUUAAUCCAUUUUGAAGUUUGUUGGUUGAUUUGUUACUAUUGAAUUACUUGCUUAAUUCAUAAUAGAUUCAAGUAUAAUUCAAUUUAUAGAACACUCUCUCAUCGUUUCCUUAGAUACUUGUUUAAAUUUUUUCUUAAUUCACUCUUCUAAUUCAACUUUAAUACAAUGUAAUACACUUUUAAUAUAGGUUUAAUUCAUUUUUGCAGUUUGUUGGUUGAUUUGUUAUGAUUUGACGACUUGUUUAAAUUCUUUCUUAAUUCACUCUUCUGAUUGAUUUUCUUGGUUAAUUCAUAAUAGAUUCAAGUUUAAUUCAAUCUAUAGAACACUCUCUCGUUGUUUCCUUAGUUAUUUGUUUAAAUUCUUUCUUAAAUCACUCUUCUAAUUCAACUUUAAUACAGUGUAAUACACUUUUAAUACAAGGUGGUAUGGGUUUGACUUCUAGUACUUUAACUGUUAACUUCAUUUUGUGCUUGUUGUUGUUGGGUCUUUCAAGAUCAGUGAAGUCUCCCUUUCAUGGAGUAGUCUUGUUUGUCGUAAUGUUGAAGUUUCUUUGUUCAGGCUUUGUAUUAGUAUCUAGCUCUUCGAUUCAGUUUUCUUCCCUGGACAGAAAAAGUCCCUUACUUUAUUGUCAAAAGUGUUGUUACAUGAAUGUUUUCAACUACAAUAACUCUUUCCACAAGUGCAUUUUUUGCUUUUAGUCCAGAUGCUUAUGUUUUGCAACGAUCCAACUGGUGAGGACUCUUAUGGGUGUGGAUAUCUAGUAUGUACUCCCUCAGUUCUGGAUCUUUUCACACCCCAGUAAAAAUGCUCAUCUAUCUUUUGUGUUCUUGCUGCUCAUCUUUAAGGCUUCCGUUUUCUUUUUGCUUAUCACACCAGUUUGAGUUUUGUGUGUUGGAAGAAUGUAUAUAUCGUGAACUAUAUUGAAGGAUUAGAGUUGUAAAUUUUUUAAGGUUAGAGUGCAGUAUGCUGGUUGUGUGGGUGCUUUCACUGCAAUCUUGAUAUCGUUUUAGGCCUUCGAGAAAAAUGGGGAGAAAAAUGGGGUUUCGAAUGGUGCAGGGAGUAUACUGCCAAUUGCAGUAAAAAUGAAUUAAAAUUGUAUUAAACAAAUUGUACAUGAUGCAGGGAGUAUACUGCCACUUGCUUAUGCCAUUGUCGAUUCAGCAAAUGAUGCAUCUUGGAGGUGUUUUUUUUAGCAAUUCAGAGACGCAUUCGAUCAAAGAUCAGAAAUAUGUAUCGUUUCUAAUAGGCAUGCAAGCAUUAUUAAGGUAGCUUCGAGAGUCUAUGAUGAAGUACCUCAUUUUGCGUGUAUGUGGCACUUACUGCAAAACAUAAUGAAAAACUUUAGAAAAAGUCAGCAAAGGGUAACUGAGUUGUUCUACUCUAUGGCAAAGAUUACUUGUUGAACAUUGGAUACAACAAAUGGUCGCGUGUGCAUGCUGAAGUAAACAGAAUUUGGAUGAUGACAUCAAAUAUAGCAGAAUCAGUCAAUUCAAGAACAAGACAUGCCAAAGUUCUUAAAGUCUUGCACCUCUUGGAAUUCAUGAGACAGCUUGUCCAGAAAUGGAAUAACAAUAAUAGAUCAAAGGCGACAUUUUCAGACUUUCACCUUGGAAAAAAGUAUGAAAAUAUAUUGCGGCGCAAUAAAACUGCAUCAGAGAAAUUAAGGAAAUGCUUAAUCUGUAAAAUUAUUUUUGCUAAUAUAUUUUCUUCUGAUUCAUAUCUAACAUCUCUCUUGAUUAUUAUUUUUUUUCUUUUUCUAUUAGGUUGUAGAGACAAAUAAAUAUGUGUAUACGGUACUUGAUGGUAUUACACAAUUCACAGUAUGUCUUUACCAACGUAGAUGCACAUGUGGGAGAUUUCAAUUGGAUGAGUUGUCAUGUCCGCAUCCUUUGGCUGUUUUAACAAUAAGACACACUAGUUAUGAAAAAUAUUGCUCUGAUUACUAUACAAGAAAAAAUUUAUUGCUGACAUAUCAGUUUCAAAUGGAUCCCCUGCCAGAUGAAAGCACAUGGAACAUACCAACACAUGUUCUUGAAGAGGUUGUACUUCCACCUCAUGGAAAGAGACUUUCGGGAAGGCCAAAAAAUAAAAGACAUACACAACUGAGAGAAGAUGGACUUAAGAAGGCGAAAAUUACAUGCAACAACUGUGGACAACAAGAUCACAACAGGAAGACUUGCAAAAAUGUUAGGCCUUAUGAUCAAGAAUAAGAAUAAGCAAUAAAAUUUGUUUUAGCAUUUUGUUUUAGAAGCUCAUUGGUUUACUAUACGAAUUUAGAUCAUGUCUAUUUAUAUGGUUGAUUCCCUUAGUUCUGCAAUCUCGUGUUAUUCAGUUUAGUGGAGUGCUUUCUUAGUUGUGCAAUCUCGUGUUAUUCGGUUUAGUCGAAUGUUUUCAUGUUUAUAGUUAGAUGUGAUAUGAUAUAGUUGAAAUGAUAUUCGAUAAAAUGCAACUUAGUAAUUGUUUAAAAUUCCCAUUGAAUGUUUAGUUGGAAUUGGAUCUCUUAUUUUAACUAUUGAUUACCUCAAUGCUUAGUUUUCUUAUUGCUGUUGAAUCUUAGAUGUUUAUAUGAUGAUUCUUGUUACUGCUAAGUGUUAAUUGCUUGUUUAUUGAUAUACAGUAGCUCAUUUUGUUUUAUUUUCUCAUAAGUAAUCUCUUAAUUUGGGCAAGCAGUGACUUUGAGUUGCAUUUUGGCUUUAAAAUACUUAUAUCACUUUCAUUUCAAUUUAGAAACUCAAGUUCCAUAAUCUCAUCCAGAAAAUUCUCUAAAAAUGGGCAUGAUUUUGGGAAAAAUCUCUGUUGAAACACCCAAAUACGAAUUGGUAUAAUCUACACCUGAUUACGAGAUCCGUAAAUACCCAAAUACGAAAAAAAGAAACAUCUUUCGUGCAAGCAAGUACCAUCGCAUGCCAACACACAUUUGCUCAAUAAAAGCUAAGCACUCAGAAAGGUAAGAAAAAGUAUAGUACAUCUCAUUACUAUGUCUAACAAAUAUGACAAUAAAAGCUACAUUGAACUAUAUUACACUAACAUUCAUUCACCUUAUAAUAAACCAAUUUCUAUGCUCACAUAAUCUUAUAUGCAAACCAAAUCACCCACUUUCAGAGGAUUGCUUUGCCAUUGGGAACAUCCUCAACCAGCCUUUGGCUUGUACUUUCCAAUUCAGCCUUCUAAGGGUUUGGGGAAUAUACCAGUAGGGGAGAGAAAAAGAGGGAGGAUUCAUCGACAGAGACCACAAACAAAAGUCAAAAGAUCAAAAGGGUGUUAACAUGACAUUUAUAUCAUAUAUCUCAAGUCACAUACAAUCGGCAAAUACCCAAAUACGAAUUGAUACAAUCUACACCUGAUUACGAGAUCGACAAUUACCCAACAACUAUUAUAGCUCAAGUCACAUACGAUCCCACCCAGUUCAAAGGCAACAAAGACAGCAGAUUCAUGCUUUUAGCCAAGUACAUCGGCACAUUGGGUAAUCCCCAAAACUCUAAACCUGAAACAAUCACCAUGACAGCCCCAGUAAGGACACGAAGAAAGAACAACCUCAAACAGAGGACUUACAUAAACAAAAUAUAGUUGGGUAUAUAAUACCAAGACUUACAAUAGACCAAUAUUCAUAGCCAUACUAACUACAAACUGUUUUUACACCAUAUAGUUUUCAUAGUCAUACUAACUAAUAUAACUAUAUUCUUUAUCUAUCCGGUCUUUUGUCUUCACUUUGAAGGUGACUUGCUUGCUUCCUUCUUGCAUAUUCCCAUAAUAUAGCUUCAAAUCUCUUUUGGAGAAUGUCUGCCUUUACUUGUUGAUUUAGAAUAUGUUGUCCAUUACUUACAAACUCUGCAAAUGCAGCAACGAAAACUCCACAGUCCCUAAAAAAUUCAAUAUAAAAUUAUUAUCAAAAUAUCUACUUAAUACAAAAAAGAAUACCUAUUUGAUAAUACUUACAGCGAGUCAUCUUGUUGUCUGGGAACACCUUUAGUUAUCAAAGCAAGGUAGUAAUUAGUUGAAUUAAAGAUGAAUAACACCAAUGACCACUUCUGGUUCCAAAUCCAGACCCAGAACUUAUCAACUUCAAUACAAGCAGCCUAAACAAUGAGCUAGUUGUCAUACACUUAAAGCUCUGUUUUCUAUCAAAAAACUGACUUCCAAAGCAACUUAAACCUACAUUUCCACUUUAUUCAUUGGAACAAAACAUUCGAGUGCGGGAGAAAAGAUCAGAUAGAACAUGGAACAAUGUUAUUCCUAAUAUAUGAUGUGUCUUCUCAUUUACACAUCUUUUCCAUCUGUUUUCCAAAUUAACACGAACAAGUGUUACCAGCUAUUUGACAAGCUCCCACUAAUUCUAGACAAAACAAUGGACAAAGAGGAGAUAUUUUGCAAUUAAGUAAAACAGAAAUGUUUGGUCAACUACCCAAAAAAAAUUAAUUAUGCAUCCACCUUCACACUAAUGAACUUCAUGCCCAGGAUGUGACCACCAAAACAAAAUAGGGACAAACCAUCGUUACUCACAAACCAGUUUUGAGUAGAUCCUGAUUCAUGGAAAGAAGGACAAAGACAAAAGAAAAAUCAUGCAUAGUUAAUAAAAAAACAACUAAAAAUAAACCCCCCACCCCACCCCACCCCCAAAGAAAUAUAGGUUCAAAUAUAACCUAAAGAAUGCAAAUGAUUCUGCUCAUUCGAUACUUGUGCGAUUCCCAAACUAAAAUUGGGACUGUCAUUAACUUCAUCCGUAGCAGUAGGAGAUGAAACUUGACCUCUUAUUCGACUUCUUCUAUAAACUUUCUGAUUCGAAGUACCAACAUCACUAAGUAUCCGUGGACUUCUUCUAGGCGAUUUUCGUUACCUUCUUCCAUUAGAAUUCUGUGUUGAAAAAUGGGGAAGAAAGAACAACAAAGCCCUAAAAUUUUCGGAUAGAAGAGUAGAAAGAAAAGAGAGAGAGAGAGGAUAUGAGCGAAUGGGCAACACUUUUCUUGCUUUAGUUUAAAAAUUACAUGAAAAGGAACAAAUUUGUUUUAAAAUUGUUUUAAGUAACUAUUGCUAAAAGUUGACAAAAAUGGUAAUAAAUUAAAAGUAUACUUAAAAGUGGUAAUUAUUAAAUAAAAGACCUUCACUUAUGUAAUUUUUCCAUUUGGAUCGGAUUGUCACCCGAUAAUAUUCAUAAUCAAUCGAUAUACAUAAAUUAUACACCAAAGUUUCAUGAUAUGCUUUUGGUUGUUAAUUUCAGGCUCAAAGACUGAAGUUGAAUUUUAAGAAAAUGUUGGAUAUUUACGAAGCGAAUGACGAGAAAAUCUGCGUCAAAGAGAUGAUAGAAAAGUUGAUAAGAGAUACAACCAAAGCUGAUAAAAGUAAAAUGCCUUGUAUUUGUUCUACGGAUUGGGAGUUGGAACUUAGCUCUAUUUUCGUGGAACUUGACACUCCACUGGUAAUUCAUAUUUUCCUUAACGUUGUGAGUAAUAUGUUUGUUCGAUUUUAACGAACUCUUCUAAAAAUAAUUGACUUGUGAUAAAUAAUUCGAUAGAUAUUGACUAACGUAGUUUGAUGUUUGGAUAAUUAAUCUUCAUGCAUUUUCUUUCAUAAUCUAAAAAAAAUAUAUUAACUUUUUUUUUUUGGUGGUGUAAAUAUAUAGGGGUGUUAUGGUACUAGAAGUACAACAGCAUUAAUAAUUUGAAGUGGGAGGAAAAGUAAGCUUUUAUGAGUUGUACCUUGAGAACAACACGUGGAAAGAGCAAAUUGUCAACUAUUGGAUUGAAAAGCUCCAAAUGCAAUAAAUAUUGAAUAAUUUUAUAUAUUUGUUGGAAAAUUUCAUAUGUUGAGAUAUAUAAUAUUUUCAUGUUUUUUUUUAAAAAAAAACUAUUUGUUUUUGAAUGGAAAUUGUUAUUCAUAGUACUUGUGAACUGUACUACACUACUUGGAAGACAUAAUGUAUGUUAUUUCGAUA